ACGGUAAUUAGAAAUCUUAAAAACAUACUGGAUGAUGUAAAGCAUCUGUAUUUUCCCCUCAUCACAGACUCAGGAGAUGAAGACGCACAAGCUUGUGCAGCAGAUGAUCCAGGACACAAUGAAGAUAGAUCAAGAAAUCAAACACUCAGCAAUAAAAAUGAGCAAAAAAAAUGAAGAGAAAGAGAAAGCAGGCAACAUUGAGCUCUGUGCUGAUCUGAAUUACUCCAUUGAGAAAUGUCAGAUGACACUUUUUGAGCACUGGGCGAAGACCAGGAUGUAAUUUGUCAUUUCUGCUUUCAUCCUCUUGUAUCUAUAGGAUGUUGCCUUUGCCUGUUAAUAUAUUUAGAAAAAUUCAAAUGAUAUAACAAUUUAAUCACAAGUCACAGUUUGGGUCUAUCACUGUUUAGUAUCAUAAUCCUAUUGAAGUCAUGUUAAAAAUCUUUCUGCAAAUAUGAUAUAGCUUCUAGUAGGAACUCAUGGUACUGGCAACACCCCCCUUUUCUGUCGUUGUUGUUUUUUAUCAUCUGUUUACUAGUUGAUGUCAUUUAUAUUUACGCGUUAUAUGUGACCCUAGACCACAAAACCAGUCAUAAGGGUCAACUGUUUGAAAUUGAGAUUUAUACAUCAUUUGAAAGAUGAAUAAAUUAGCUUGUUAGGGUGGGACAAUAUUUGGCCGAGAUGCAACUAUUUGAAAAUCUGGAAUCUGAAGGUGCAAAAAAAUUUAAAUAUUGAGAAAAUUGCCUUUAAAGUUGUCCAAGUGAACUCCUUAGCAAUGCAUUUUACUAAUCAAAAAUUAAGUUUUGAUAUAUUUACAAUAGGAAAUUUACAAAAUAUCUUCACAGAACGUGAUCUUUACUUAAUGUCCUAAUGAUUUUGGCAUAAAAGAAAAAUCAAUAAUAAUCACCCAUACAAUGUAUUUUUGGCUAUUGCUACAAAUAUACCCCAGCGACUUGAGACUGGUUUUGUGAUCCAGGGUCACAUAUUACCAUUGUACUGAC
rnacentral:lncRNA from 1 species